rnacentral:rRNA from 1 species
UACCAGCACCCCGAGUGGUCGGGACGUUUAUUGGGCCUAAAGCAUCCGUAGCCGGUUCUACAAGUCUUCCGUUAAAUCCACCUGCUUAACAGAUGGGCUGCGGAAGAUACUAUGGAGCUAGGAGGCGGGAGAGGCAAGCGGUACUCGAUGGGUAGGGGUAAAAUCCGUUGAUCCAUUGAAGACCACCAGUGGCGAAGGCGGCUGCCAGAACGCGCUCGACGGUGAGAGAUGAAAGCUGGGGGAGCAAACC